GAACCGGCGAACCCCAGGCCACCGAGAAGUGGAACAUGUGAACUUAACUGCUGCUCCUCUGGGCUCGUCCCAAGAAAGUCAUUCUCGUUGAGGUUUCUCCCCUGCUGUGGCUGAUGCGAAAGUGUUGAAAUAUCACAGCAUGCUUGACUGCCUUCAUCUCUGGUGGAUCUCAUUUCUCCUUCACCAUUAUCACCUCCAUUGUUGACGUAAGAAAACUGAAGCUGAGCUCAGAAAGACAAAAAUACAGGGGCCUCAGUGGUAUCAUCUGACCUGCUUUUGUGGGCAUCUGGAUGGCUGGGCUGUAGCUGCACGGACCCCUGUGUACCUUGGGCCAGACCUUGUGCCUUACAAAUGGCCGAUAAAUGAGACAAGUGAUUUGCUUCGGGGAAACUAAUAAGACCAGGCACCUUGCUGUCUUCAGUUUUUGACAUGGGAAAGACCCCGCCCAGAAGAGUCUGCAGGGGCAAAAUUAUCACUCACAAGAUCACGGUCCCCCGUGAAGAAGAAGGCUGCCAAUCUGAGCCAAAAUAAGAGUUCAUCGAGAAUCACCACAGGCACAGCCUUCCCACAGGGGUGAUCUGAGAAGACAGACACUUUGUGCCAUGGAGCUUAACGUUCACAUAGGCGGAAGGGAGACUGUCUGGUUGCAUUACAUUGUACCUCAUUCCUCUCUCGAAUUGUCUUGCAAAGAGCAUCUCCUCUCCAGGUAGCUGCUGUAAUUAGUAUAUUAUUAUCUUGUCAUUGUUCAAAUCUGGUUUGCUAAAUCAUUCUGAACUUCCCUGACAGUCUGGUGAUGUAAGGUCAGAAAAUAACAUUUCAUACUUGUCUUAGGCCAAUUUUCCUAGAAGCAAAGCCUCAGAAGAGGAUUUGAAUGCUUAAAGUCAGCCUGAUUCCCACAGGGAGCUCUGGAGCAUUCAGGGCCCAGAGACAAGGUCCCACCUUGAGGCAAAGAGGGUGGUCAUUUUUACCCUUUUAUCAGUAAGCUGCCAGCUGUCCCCAGAAAUUGUGUAUAAGUGAGGCAACUCAUAGAUCAUGGGCAAUUCUCAGGGUAAGGAAGGCAGUAGUAGAGGGCAACUUAGAAUAUUUAUUAAUAACUAUGCAUCCAUAGCCCCUUUCUGAGGAGUAAUCCUUCAUCUAAAUCAGAAAUCUGUCCGGUUAUCCCAGGCAAAAAGAAAAAACAACAGCUUCCAAUGUUAGAUAUUAACUCUUUAAUUACCAUUUGCUGUUUCAAAUGCAAUGUAAAUAUGAACUUCUUUAAUCCUCAUAACAACCUAGCAAUUUAAGUGUUAUUGUUAUUUCCAUUUUAUUGGUGAAAAAACUGAGGCAUUAAAAGCUUAGGAAAUUUGCCCAAAGUACGCAGCAGAGGCAUGCUUCAGUCUAGGCAGCUGGCUCCAGAAUCCUUAUUCUUAACCACUCGGCUAUGAGACACCAACUGGAUACUCACCACUUUGAGGGUAGGUACAUCAUCAUAAAACCUCGCUCCAUGCUUUACACAUAGUAGAUGCCCAUUUUAUGUUGGCUAAAUGAACCAAGUGAAUGAAGAGAAACAAGGUGGAUAAAAAUAUGAAUCCCUUUGAUCUUGUUCACAUCAGCUUUCACUAUACAACAAAACGUCCUAAAACUUCGUGGCUUAAAACAACAAACAUCAAUUUAGCUCUCAGUUCUGGGGGUUAGCCCACGUUGCUAACAGCCUUGCAGUUCUCCUGUUCUUGCUGGGCUCAUUCUCGCAGUCUGUGGUCAGCUGCCAGUUAUCUAGGCAGCUGCACCUCUUGCAUCGGUCGUCUAAAAGCUGGAGUGACGAGGUAAGUGGGCCAUGUGUCUCUCAUCAUCUAGCUGGCUAUCCUGGGCUUGUUUAACUAGCAUUUUGGAAGUGUUCCAACAUGGAGAAUAAAAGCACGUAAGGGGUCUUGAAACCUAUACUAAGAAUUGGCACACCAUCACUUCUGCUGCGUUCUAUUGGCCUAAAUGAGUCACCAGGCCGCCUCAGAUUCAAAGGAUGAAGAUGACUUCAUAUUUUGACGGGAGGAGCUGCAAAGUCACAUCUCAAAGGCCUAAGGGAACUGGGAAGGGAAGAAUUUGCAAUCAUUUUUGCCUUUACCAGAGCUUUCAUUGUGCACCUGUUAGUUAUGUGAAUAUAAAAUCUAAACCCUUCCUUCACAUUUAGUGCUUCUUUUAUGUAUAAAAUUUGAUAAUAUUGGAUUAGGAAACUUAGAAACCAAAUCACUACUGUUAAUUGGCUAGGAAAAAACCAAUGUACACAUCUCAAACAAGAAGACUGCCUCUGGAUGCUGUUUUUUCCUAUGAAAAUAUCUUAUCAGUAGUUCUAUAGUCCUACAAUAAAUCUCUAUUUUAAUCAAGGUUAAAAUAGAUUAAAAUGUUAUACAACGUAAUUUGAGUCUCCCAUCCACUCAUCCUCGUACCUAGUCUUAUUCUCCAGAGUGACUAAUCUCAAAAGACAUCUGUAUUUCCUGACAUCCUCUCCGUGAAUGGGGGCAUAUGGAUUGUACAUACUGUCCUCCACUUUGCUUUUUCACUUAGCACUGUAUCUUAAAGAUAUUUCCUUAUUAGCACAAUUUUAACUCAUUUUUAAAAAACAGUUUAGCAGUCCCUCUGAAGUCCAAGAACAUGCCAUAGAUAAUUUACUUAU